AUUGAACGCUGGCGGCAUGCCUUACACAUGCAAGUCGAACGGCAGCACGGGAGCAAUCCUGGUGGCGAGUGGCGAACGGGUGAGUAAUAUAUCGGAACGUGCCCAGUCGUGGGGGAUAACGUAGCGAAAGCUACGCUAAUACCGCAUACGAUCUAUGGAUGAAAGCGGGGGAUCGCAAGACCUCGCGCGAUUGGAGCGGCCGAUAUCAGAUUAGGUAGUUGGUGAGGUAAAGGCUCACCAAGCCGACGAUCUGUAGCUGGUCUGAGAGGACGACCAGCCACACUGGGACUGAGACACGGCCCAGACUCCUACGGGAGGCAGCAGUGGGGAAUUUUGGACAAUGGGCGCAAGCCUGACCCAGCAAUGCCGCGUGCAGGAUGAAGGCCUUCGGGUUGUAAACUGCUUUUGUACGGGACGAAACGGUGAGCUCUAAUACAGUUUGCUAAUGACGGUACCGUAAGAAUAAGCACCGGCUAACUACGUG
rnacentral:rRNA from 1 species